CCUACGGGUGGCAGCAGUAAGGAAUCUUCCGCAAUGGGCGAAAGCCUGACGGAGCAACGCCGCGUGGGCGAUGAAGGCCUUCGGGUCGUAAAGCCCUUUUCUGUGGGACGAUAAUGACGGUACCUGAAGAAGAAGCACCGGCUAACUACGUGCCAGCAGCCGCGGUAAUACGUAGGGUGCGAGCGUUAAUCGGAAUUACUGGGCGUAAAGCGUGCGCAGGCGGCUUUGUAAGACGGAUGUGAAAUCCCUGGGCUUAACCUAGGAACUGCGUUCGUGACUGCAAAGCUAGAGUGCGGCAGAGGGGGGUGAAAUUCCUGGUGUAGCAGUGAAAUGCGUAGAGAUCAGGAGGACCACCGAUGGCGAAGGCAGCCCCCUGGGUUGGAACUGACGCUCAUGCACGAAAGCGUGGGGAGCAAACAGGAUUAGAUACCCUUGUAGU
rnacentral:rRNA from 1 species